GCUGGCUCUAAAUCUGUGUACCUUCUUCACUCUGGAGCUCAGCGCAAUCUGAGCAUUGGGACAGACUCUCUGUGGGAGUUGGUAGAAGUUCAUCACUCAACCCUGUGCUUAUAGACCAUAAAUGUUCCAGGAAAACAUCACAGAGCACACUGGGCCUGUUGGCUCAAUGGCCCCAGACUCUCAGUCAGUCCUCUUUGACUGACUAUAAGUGAAAUAAUCUGGAUUCUAAAACACAAUGCCUUUGCAAUCCAAUGGAUCACUAAACAAUUUAUAUGACGACGUUGACUCAGCUUCUAAAGUUGGUCGGUGAAUACCAGGAGCGGUGUGCUGACUUACAAUUGGAAGACAGACCUAGCUUUACUUCAUGUUUGUUUUGUGUAAGAUAGCUAACCAAAAGAACUACCAACGUUGGCAUGUGAAUACGAAAUGGAUAUUUAUAUCACAAUUCACUUAUAAAUGACAAAUUUGUGAGAACAGGGAGGCUUAUAAUGAUUGAUCUCCCCAUGUGCGCAUGGCUCUGUAAUGUUACAAAACUGACAUGGUUUUCCAAAGAAAAGCAUGUUUUCCUUCUACUGAGUAGAUCCCUCAGAUUCUGCUCUCAUUUAUGCACUAUGGGCAUCAGCAGGGAAUCUGGCAGAGAGACUCUCUGCUAUUAAUGAUUUUGGACCAGGAAGUUUCCUUGAAAUUCUUAUUGGCACUACAAAUAUCAUCUUCACUUAAUGUCUUGAGUUUAUAGGACUUGUUGGAUUUGCAAUGGCUCAUUUUAAUUUGCAGUUCUAGAUGAUUUCCAUGGAUCAUCAUCAAAAACUGUGUAUUAAAACUCUGUUACUUAACUCUAUCUAUUACCUAAUAUGGAUUAGAAGCCUUCCAAUGAGGUAGAAUGAAUUGGCUAUGGAUCUAUUUCUGCAUCUGAACUUAAGCACUGAACUCCGGUAAUGCCAGCAGCUCGUCACUGCCCUUGUCUUUGUUACCUGCCCUUCCCCCAGUGAUCACAUAGACAAAUGUAGCUUGAGCCCCCUCCCCCUUCCUGUCCAUCUGCCACAUAUUCACUUUUCACCAGCACUUAAUUCUCUAUCAAAAUAUUUUUCCAGGAUGAGAAAAGAACCAACUUCCAGGCAAAAGAAAAAAAGUGAUUCUAGUUAAUGACUUCCAGAUAAGAAUUUGCUUAUUUUCCUAAUGGCCUACUGUGUCUUGCUAAGCUAUCAUGUCACAAACAGAAUAGAUAACUUUAAUGGGAGAACUGCCUAAGGAUCUUGGGACAUAGCCACAGCCCCUUUGUCUACAUAAAAUAUUUUUUUAAAAUAAAUAAAUUAAUGGGAGCUGCAAACAAGUGGAAUCUAAGAAUAAUAUAACUAAGUCUUCGGGCAAAAUAUGUUUACAACAUGUGAAAUUAAUAAACAUAAAAUCUCUAGAGACUAAAUGCAUCAUUUUUCAUCUAUCAUGAGAAAACAUUUUCUGUACAUGGGAGACAGUGUGGAAAAAGGUGACUGUGGUGAGAACGCGUUUGUUCCCUCGAAGGCAAGAUGGAGAAUUCCAGUCUUGCAUUGUGCCACGCACGCAUCCCCCCGCUGUUUUCUGCCAUAAUUACCUGAGACCCAUCACCCAGCGCAGCCACUAAUAUGAAACCCCUGCUCAACAGAAUGUAAGGACUACACAAACAGUAAUGAUGGUCUUUAGCUCACCACAGUGGGCUGACCACAUCAAACGUGAAUGAAUAGUUGGUUUCCAGAAUACUGUCAAAUAACAGAAAACCAUCUGUUGCUGAAAAUAACAUUGGGUGGUGGAAAAAGAGAUCCCCAAAUUGUUUUUUCCCUCAUAAUAAUAAAUGAAAUACAGUAAAACUAUUAAUAAAAACACAAUAGCAGACCGGAGCUAUUAUUUAAGAAAAACAUUUCAGUAUGUUUUAUUAUAGUUAACAGUUACAGAGAGGAAAAGUAAAAAUUUGGGCAGAACUGUGGUUACCAUUUUCAGAACUACGCUAACAUGGAGAGUACCUCACCUGCCUCCAGGAAAACACUUCCUUUUUGCCUGUUUUUCUCAAUCUGUAAAUGAUGCCCAAAGGGGAUCUCUUUAAAGAGAUACUGGGUUUAAUGUUUGUAACGUGGUUUUUUGCCCCGAAGUUAAAAAAAAAAAAAAAAAGUAAAGUACAAAGUAUUAUUAUAGCAUUUGUGGCAUUUAAACCUGUAAUUAAAGUGACCAAAUAUUUUCCAUACCCCCCCCCCUUACAUUCAGUUCUUUACAAAUUUUUUGCAAGUUCAUAAUUUGAAGCUAAAACUUUCCCCAUUCUAUUCAUUAGUAGCUUGGAAUCACUUAAAAAUUAUUCAAACAAGUUUAUGUUUUGGUGAUCUGUCUUGGAUAAUUUGAAAGCCACUGAUGUUUCUAUGUAAAGCAAAAAUAAUUCGGUAUUUUGGAUUAGACCUUAAAAUGAAAUGUAGCAUGCAGGACACCAAAGGGAGCUUAAAUUCAGUUGGGAAAUAAUAGUUUAAUGAUAAUAAUAUCAUUCAUAGAUUAAAACCAUGAUGUAAACAUGUUCUGUUGCAAAUUUUGCUUUGGAGAUGCAUUAUUGAUACUUGGAUCAGUUCCUCCUCUCUCAUUUGACUUAUUACCUCAUCAACUGGUUGUUUGAAUGCUGUACAGAAACCUAGAAUAUAAUAAUUGUUUUCAUAUUUUGAGAAAGAUUAUAUUUCUAGAAACAAGAUAGACUCCAAAAUUUUCCCUUACAUUAUGCUUCUUCAUCGUUUAAGAAAAACAGUAAGCAUGUAAACUUUUAAGAUGAAUUAUGAUCUUAUAAACAUAUACUGUAACAAAAUUCCAUCAGAGAUUAAUGAUAAUAUUUUAGUUUUUGCUCUCUAACACUUAAGCAAUAGAUAUUAUGAGCGGGGGUACAGGAUGAGGGCGGAGAGGAGGAAGGUGAAUAAUCCUUUCAACUUUAGGUAUUACAUAUACAUUUCUUUUAUAUUUGUUUCAAAUCCGGUAACCAGAAAGUGCAACUGGCCAGGCUGUUCAUUCUAUGUUGUCAAUAAAAGGAACCAGCGGAUGGAGACUUGUUUUUUUCAUUCUCAGAGGUUUGGUAAAGAUACUGCAUAUUUUGCACACUUAAGAGCACAGAUCAGCAUAUGUUUUUUUGAGAAUAUUCCAUGUUCCACUGGAUCAGGCAAAAGCAGCACCAAAGAAUUAGACACAGAGAGUUAUUUCAAGGAACUGAGAGAAACAGAAAGUAAUUUCAAUACAGCGUGUUGAAUGAUACCUUGAAAGUAAAUUUUCAGGGUUUGGGCAGUAGCUGGAGGAGAAAGUUGUAAUAGCCCUGGACAGUCGGCAAGGACAGUUUAGAGGAUGGUGAGCUACCUCAGAUCUUUUCCAGUGAGUCUCCAAAUGCUCUGGAAUUUAAUGAGAUCCUUGUUUCUCAUAGUAUGGUCCAGGGACUGGCAUCAUUGCAUUUCCUGGAAGCUUGCUGAUAUACAGAAUUUAGGGCCCCAAUCCAGACCUCCUAUAUUUUAGAGAUUACUAGGCAAUUCAUGUGUACAUUAAGUUUGAGACGCAUUAUCCUAGAUUCUGUCUUCUUAAUAACCUUCAAACCCAGCUGAAAACAGGCAUUUGUAUUUCCUUCUAUGUUUGAAUUUUGGGAAGACACCUCUCAAAGAGCGCCUCCAGUUCAUGCAAAGUGUCUCAAGCGGAAAGAAUGGGCCCAAGAUAACCCUUGAUUCUAAUUCCCCACAGCCUCCUCGUGAGUAAAAUGGUUCACAAGUUCCUGUUUGCCAAGGGCACGUGAAAGAGAUAAUAAGAGGCCUGGGGAUCUGAAGCUGGAAAGGAUCAAGAGGGCAGCUCGUGGAACAGAGGCCCCUUCUAUCUCAGUCUUAGAAAUUUCUCCCUGUGCUCAGACACCCUCCAGGAAGAGGUGAGGAAGAAGGGUGAUGUGGAAUGGGAGAAUUAGCACUGGGCAGAGUCUUUGAUUUAGCCAGCUCAUCUGAAAAGACCAAGUUUUAACCAGAAGAAACUGGUUUGCCUUGCAGGGUGAAGUUUAUAAGGUUGUUCUCUAUUAGCAGAUAAGGACUAGGAGCAAAAAUAAUUCUUUUAUGCAAGAUAAAACUGUACUUUUGUACAGCUGAUUAAUAAUAUGACCAUUUUAAACCACAAUAUAAACAAGAGAGAUCUUUGCUUAAAAUCCUUUAGUGACUUCUUAUGGCUACGGAAUUUUAACUUGGCACACAUCAUUUUAUUUGGUUCUUGCCUUCCUCUCUAACAUCACUUCCUAAAACCAGCAAUGGAGACUGGAAAAAAAAAAGUGUUAUAGAAACAGAAGGAAAUUUCAAUGCAAGUUCUAGGCCAGUUAGACCUCUUGGCAUGUGUGUGUAUAUGUAUGUGUCUGUCAGUUUGUCUGGCCGUAAUACAUAUGACAUUACUCCUUUACCAGUUAACCCUGACAAAAAUAACAUUGCAUUAAAAAAUCAUCCCCAAACUGAACAGGAGGGAAAAUAGCCAAAUAUACAACUGGCAUCAGAAUCAUAUGAACAAUUUGUUACAAAUUCAAAUUCUUGAAACAAAAUUGGCUUAAAACACUAAACUGCUUGUACUCAUUGAUCUGCACAUUGGCUGAACGUUUUCAAAGCUGGGCUUGUUUGGGUGGUUCCACUGGUCAUAAUUGGACCCACUCCGGCUUCUGAAGCCAGCUUGGUUAGGCCAGCGGUUGUUCCACCCCACGGUUGAUAUCCUCCUCAGGAGACCAGAGGCUAGCCUAAGCUGCCCUUCUCACUGUGCUGCCAGAAGUUCUAAUCUACAGAGCCCAUCAGGAGACAGAUUAUAAACCUGCUUAUGUCAUUGAUGCCAACAUCUCCCUGACCAGAGAUAGUCACAGGAAAACACCCUUUGUCAAGGAGUGGGAAAGUCUGCUCCUCCAAUUAUAGAAAAGCACUGCCAAAGUUACAGUCCAAAGAAUAUGGAUGGAUAAUUCAAUAACUAUGGAUGGAACAAAGAACAAAAAAAGUAAUCCACUUCGACACAAAUCUCCUCUUAAAAAUAACCGACACCACAUCAUAAGGAUCUAGCGAUUAGUAACAAUUAGCGAUGCAAAUCUAGCCCAGUGGUGGUUAAUCUCUCCACAAUAUGUUCCCAUGAUCAAAUCCUGUUUUGAUUUUCCUAUCUUUUAGAAAAAGUUAUGUAUAAUUAUAAAAUUAAUCACCAAAUUAUGUUUAAUAAUUUACACAUUUAUAAAUUCAAUUGUAUUACUUUCAUGUUCUAGAGAGGGGUCAAUAAACUAUAUAGCCUGCAGGUCGAAUCUUGCCAACCAUCUGAUUUUGUAAAUAAAGUUUUAUUGGAUCACAACUA